UUGCUCCAUCAAACAGCCCUCGCAUCCCUCUACUUCAACCGUGCAGCUCCUAUACAAACAACCAUGGGCGAACAUGGUCGAUCAAACGUUCCCAUGGCAGUGGACACGCUUUUUUUGGGAUACUUCGGAGAAAUGUUCGUGCCUGUGUGUCUGCAGGCAUGUAGCAAGGGAUCGAUCGCCGGAAAUACAUUGCAUGUGGGGAGUGCUGAUAUGGCCUGAUCAUUUCCAUGUACAUACAUGUAUAUCUCAACGGAGGGUGAAUGACAGAUGUGCGGCCGCUAGGUUCAUCUUCUCUGCGCCGGAGAAAGGAUCGGACAAGGUAUGCCAAUAGGUUCUAAUGUUCUCUAUUAUUUUAAAACAAUUUAGGACGUAUUUGAUUGGAAAAAUUUAGGCUCUGAAAUGAGAAUGAGAAUGAGUAACUCAUACUCCAACCAUUUGGUUAGAGGAAGCCUUAUUUCUAUUUUCACUCUAGAAAGAGAUGGGAAUGCUUUUUCUACUGUUGGAUUUAUUUUAAAAGUAUUUUUUUUAAAAUGCCCUUCGGUUUAAUUGAUUUUUUUGUUUAAUUAAUUUUUUGAUUUCAAUCUCAAAUCUAGUCAUGAACCAAAUAUCGGAGAAUAUAAUUUCCAUUCCAAUUCCUAUUUCAAUUUAUUCCGAUUUUGUUUUCGGUUGUGAGCCAAAUUCGGCCUUAAUAUCAAUAGAAUAAGUAAGAAUUUUAAUAGCAAUGACUGGAAUAACGUUAUAGGGCGAGACCCACUAGUAGUUUGGAGACAGAUCAAAUAUUGUUCCUUGGCAAGCACAAGAUCUGCUUUCCUCCGGUGCAUUUUGUUUUGUUGCAGAGGAUUGCAUGCACUCAAAGCACAAAUUUCCCUUUCAAUUUCCGAUAUCUCCAAUGAACUGCUCUGAUGCAAAUUCUCUACAUGGCAG
rnacentral:lncRNA from 1 species